AAGGCUUCAGUACGACCCAGUCAGAACUAUAAGUCUCAAAGCCCCGACGAGUAGGGUGGCGCGCCGGUGCGCGUUGAAGGCCAAGACGUGAGUCAGGCUGGAGCCGCCGGCAGUGCAGAUCUUGGUGGUAGUAGCAAGUACUCUGGUGAACCAACCUGGAGCUGUGAGGUCUGGAUUAGGGUUCCAUGUCAACAGUGAUUGAACAUGGGUGAGUCGAACCUAAGCCAACUGUGAAAGCAGUGACAUCCCGACAAAGGGGCACUACAUAUGUGCUGCACUUGCACCCCCAAAGCAAAGCUCUCGUAUUGCUCUCUCUCUCUCUCUGUGUCUGACAAGCCCACACACGAUGAUCACAGUUGUUGUGAGUGUGUGGGUGGGUGCAAUGGUGUCUGGUUACGGAAUACAAGCGCAAACACGCGCACACACACGGUGAUCACACUACCAAAACGCGUGAGAGUGUGUGAGCGCGCGCGCCCUGGUGUCUGGUUACGCUCAUAAGCGUUGUUGCUCAAAAAGCAAAGAGGAUAAAGCAUAUAAAACGAGAGAGAGAGAAACGGAGUGGGUGAGCGUGAGUGAAUCUAUUUCGUGAGCACCCUGCGUCUGGUUCUAUGUCUGGCGAAAGGGAAUGGGGACUUUGUUCCUUGACCGGUCCUGGCACCCUCGACUGGCUUUGCCAGUUAAUGGUCCAUGCAAAUGGAACCAGGCCACAGCCGUCGGCAGUCGCCCGAGGAAGAGUUUUCUUUUCUGCUUAACGCACGAGGUCAUCCCUGGAAACAGUUCGGCUGGCGAAAGGGUGCCCCGUUGCGGCAGAGCGCCACGACUGUCGUGCGCGUCUCGGUGUUCCUGCUGAUCCGUGAAGACGUGGUCGAGGGGAUUGCUCUUGUAUCAACGAAACGCCCGACAAGUUCGGGACGGACCGUACCCUAUAUCCGCAUCUGGUCUCCAAGGUUCGUAGCCUCUGCAGAGUCAGACACAUGUAGGUAAGGGAAGUCGGCAAACUCGAUCCGUAACUUCGGGAAAAGGAUUGGCUCUGAGGGCCGAGCUGGGCCGGGCCUUGCCUGCAAAGCAGUACCUAUAGUGACCGGAGUUUCAGGAGUGCGAGGGGCUCUAGUAGCUGCUUGUGCGUGUGUGCGUUCGCUCGUGCACGCGUGUGGGCACGAACGAGUCCACCGCUCCGCUCCAACCACGAACGGCUGUGACGGCAAGGGCUCUGGGCGGGAGCGAUCGAUCCGUUGGCCCCCAGCUUGUCUGGGUGGCGGCGGUGCUCCGUCUGUCCCAUACGGCUCCAGCGGCUAGCGGCUAACUCAGAACUGUCAUGGACCAAGGGAAUCCGACUGUCUAAUUAAAACAAAGCGUCGUGACGGCCCCUGUUGGGUGUUGACGCGACGUGAUUUC
rnacentral:rRNA from 1 species